GACGAACGCUGGCGGCGCGCCUAACACAUGCAAGUCGAACGGAGUUAUUUCAGCAGAAGCUUUCGGGUGGACGCAGGGAUAACUUAGUGGCGAACGGGUGAGUAACACGUGAGGAACCUGCCCUGGAGUGGGGGACAACAGUUAGAAAUAGCUGCUAAUACCGCAUAAGCGCACAGCUCCGCAUGGAGCAGUGUGAAAAACUCCGGUGGUGUGAGAUGGACCCGCGUCUGAUUAGCCAGUUGGCGGGGUAACGGCCCACCAAAGCGACGAUCAGUAGCCGGCCUGAGAGGGUGAUCGGCCACAUUGGAACUGAGAUACGGUCCAA
rnacentral:rRNA from 1 species